UGAGCGAAAUAUUCUCAAGCACGACGUAAAACCCAAUUUAACCUCACCUCACCUCACCUCACCUCACCUCACCUCACCUCACCUCACCUCACCUCACUUCACCUCACCUCAUGCUUACAACAUGCAGUUACUAGCAAAAAUAAACUUUCUGAACAUUCUGGAGCUGAUAUCUAGUUAGCAUGUAAUUACAAUUACUGGAAAUAUAUUGCAAAUAUAUUUCACUGGUGGUGAGAUUUGAUCAGAAAAUACGUCUCUAUGCACAGUGUAUGGAUGCCAUGUUCGACUACUACAGGUCUGUGUGGAUGUGAAGAGACAUUUGCUUGAAGGCUUCAAGACUUUAUACAUUAGGAGUGAAUAUUUCAAUAGAUGUGCUUCACUAUGUUAGAAACGAUAUACAAGGCAAACUCAGCAAUAUUCCAGCUGUAUGGUGGUUGCAUGAUAGCUCUUCUUGGUGCAUAUGUUGCAUGACUGAAAUAAAUACUAACCCACGAAA